rnacentral:lncRNA from 1 species
GUGGAGGUGAAGGUGUUUGGUUGGAGCUCCCUAUGUACCUGAGGCCUUUCAAAGAAUAUCAUGGCUACCAGAUGUCAUUACAAACAUCACCUAACAUCAAAAGCUGCACCUCAUUAUAGAGGAAAGGAAAAGGAAAAAGAAGGAAAAUAAACACUCCAGUCUGGAAGAAGAGUAAUUCUUUAGAAGUGGUGUCAGAAAAGAGAGGAAAUGAGGUUAUGAGUUAUGCUUUGUCCCUCUUUGAAUUCUCUGUCUAGAAUUUGCAGGUGACUGAAGACGGUCAAGUUAUUGGUCCCACUGCAGACAGAAGCACACAACUCUGCUGUCUAUGAAACAUCGGCAUGGUACUCUUGUAAUGGAGGAAGGAUUGACUGAUAUUAGAACAUCUAAGAUGACAGGUCCAGAGAAGGAUUUGCCAAAGGAAUCUGGUGGUAACCAGUCAGGUUACAACCUGUUAAGAAACAGUGCCAGAGGUAGCAGUGAUCAUUAUAUCCAGCUAUGGACAUGAACAGGAAAAUGCUGAAGACGUGUCUGGCUGUUACAUCCAAGAAUUUUUCCUAUGUGAUGGUGGGAGGAAAAGAGGAAUUCUGUAGUGGUACUGCAUCCACGUGAAGAAAAUAAAGGAUCGGCAAUGA